rfam:Helianthus annuus linkage group 9, whole genome shotgun sequence.
ACUUGGGCGCAUUAGCUGUGGAGCGGAUGAAAGCCCCACAGUUAAGCGAGCCUAGGUGGGAGUAGUACCAAGAUGGGUGACCUCGUGGGAAGUGUCCAUCAGUGCAACCA